ACCUGGUCCUAGGGCAGUGAUGUUUACAACCAAUUGAUCACAACUAACUGAAGCAGUAGUUCCCACUGCUUCAAUUCACUAGCUUUAA
rnacentral:sRNA from 1 species